UACGUAGGGUGCAAGCGUUAAUCGGAAUUACUGGGCGUAAAGCGUACGCAGGCGGCUUGAUAAGACAGGUGUGAAAUCCCCGGGCUUAACCUGGGAACUGCAUUUGUGACUGUCAGGCUAGAGUUUGUCAGAGGGGGGUGGAAUUCCACGUGUAGCAGUGAAAUGCGUAGAGAUGUGGAGGAACACCGAUGGCGAAGGCAGCCCCCUGGGAUGAAACUGACGCUCAUGUACGAAAGCGUGGGGAGCAAACAGG
rnacentral:rRNA from 1 species